GUGGGGAAUCUUGCGCAAUGGGCGAAAGCCUGACGCAGCCAUGCCGCGUGAAUGAUGAAGGUCUUAGGAUUGUAAAAUUCUUUCACCGGGGACGAUAAUGACGGUACCCGGAGAAGAAGCUCCGGCUAACUUCGUGCCAGCAGCCGCGGUAAUACGAAGGGGGCUAGCGUUGCUCGGAAUUACUGGGCGUAAAGGGCGCGUAGGCGGACAGCUUAGUCAGAGGUGAAAGCCCAGGGCUCAACCUUGGAAUUGCCUUUGAUACUGGCUGUCUUGAGUUUGGGAGAGGUGAGUGGAACUCCGAGUGUAGAGGUGAAAUUCGUAGAUAUUCGGAAGAACACCAGUGGCGAAGGCGACUCACUGGCCCAAUACUGACGCUGAGGCGCGAAAGCGUGGGGAGCAAACAAGAUUAGAAACCCCAGUAGUCC
rnacentral:rRNA from 1 species